rnacentral:rRNA from 1 species
CUUCAAUCGAUGGCGACCGGCGCACGGGUGAGUAACACGUAUCCAACCUGCCGAUGACUCGGGGAUAGCCUUUCGAAAGAAAGAUUAAUACCCGAUGGCAUAGUUCUUCCGCAUGGUAGAACUAUUAAAGAAUUUCGGUCAUCGAUGGGGAUGCGUUCCAUUAGGUUGUUGGCGGGGUAACGGCCCACCAAGCCUUCGAUGGAUAGGGGUUCUGAGAGGAAGGUCCCCCACAUUGGAACUGAGACACGGUCCAAACUCCUACGGGAGGCAGCAUG